rnacentral:rRNA from 1 species
UACGUAGGGGGCUAGCGUUGUCCGGAAUCAUUGGGCGUAAAGAGCUCGUAGGCGGUUUGUCGCGUCGGAUGUGAAAACCCAGGGCUCAACCCUGGGCCUGCAUUCGAUACGGGCAAACUAGAGUAUGGCAGGGGAGACUGGAAUUCCUGGUGUAGCGGUGAAAUGCGCAGAUAUCAGGAGGAACACCGGUGGCGAAGGCGGGUCUCUGGGCCAAAACUGACGCUGAGGAGCGAAAGCGUGGGGAGCGAACAGG